rnacentral:rRNA from 1 species
AUUCCAGCUCCAAUAGCGUAAAUUAAUGUUGUUGUAGUUAAAAAGCUCGUAGUUGGAUUUCUGGUCGGGACGUCUGGCCGGCUCCGCAAGGGGUCGUUGCAUUGACUGUACUCGUCCAUCCUCAGGUUGACUAGCUCUGGUAUUUAUUUAUCGGUGUUAGAACGCCUGUCGUUUACUGUGAACAAAUUAGAGUGUUCAAAGCAAGGUGUACUUGAAUACAUUAGCAUGGAAUAAUAAGAUAGGACUUUGGUGGUUCUUUUUGAUAUUUUGUUGGUUUGCACGCCAAGGUAAUGAUUAAUAGGAGCAGUUGGGGGUAUUCGUAUUCAAUUGUCAGAGGUGAAAUUCUUGGAUUUAUAGAAGACGAACUACUGCGAAAGCAUUUACCAAGGAUGUUUUCAUUA